GAUGAACGCUGGCGGCGUGCCUAAUACAUGCCAGUCGAGCGAACAGACGAGGAGCUUGCUCCUCUGACGUUAGCGGCGGACGGGUGAGUAACACGUGGAUAACCUACCUAUAAGACUGGGAUAACUUCGGGAAACCGGAGCUAAUACCGGAUAAUAUAUUGAACCGCAUGGUUCAAUAGUGAAAGACGGUUUUGCUGUCACUUAUAGAUGGAUCCGCGCCGCAUUAGCUAGUUGGUAAGGUAACGGCUUACCAAGGCAACGAUGCGUAGCCGACCUGAGAGGGUGAUCGACCACACUGGAACUGAGACACGGUCCAGACUCCUACGGGAGGCAGCAGUAGGGAAUCUUCCGCAAUGGGCGAAAGCCUGACGGAGCAACGCCGCGUGAGUGAUGAAGGUCUUCGGAUCGUAAAACUCUGUUAUUAGGGAAGAACAAAUGUGUAAGUAACUAUGCACGUCUUGACGGUACCUAAUCAGAAAGCCACGGCUAACUACGUG
rnacentral:rRNA from 1 species